ensembl:snRNA U6 U6 spliceosomal RNA
GAGCUCACUUCGGCAGCACACAUACUAACAUUGGAGUGAUACAGAGAAGAUUAGCAUGGCUCCUGUGCAAGAAUGACACGCAAAUUCAUGAAGUGUUCCAUAUUUUU